GGGCCGGUAGCUCAGCAUGGUUAGAGCGCGGGACUCUUAAUCCCGUGGUCGGGGGUUCGAAUCCCCCCCGGCCCG
rfam:Thermococcus celer strain Vu 13, complete genome.